AAGAGAGUUUGAUCCUGGCUCAGGAUGAACGCUGGCGGUAUGCCUAACACAUGCAAGUCGUACGAGAGUUUUUAACUCUAGUGGCGGACGGGUGAGUAACACGUGAGAAUUUACCUCUAGGAGGGGGAUAACAAUUGGAAACGAAUGCUAAUACCCCAUAUGCUUUUGAGUGAAAUGGAUUUAUAUUAUUCGCCUAGAGAGAAGCUCGCGGCUGAUUAGCUUGUUGGUAAGGUAAGAGCUUACCAAGGCGACGAUCAGUAUCUGGUUUGAGAGGACGAUCAGACACACUGGAACUGAGACACGGUCCAGACUCCUACGGGAGGCAGCAGCGGGG
rnacentral:rRNA from 1 species